GCUGCAGAGCAAGGGGCUGGCCGGCAUCUGGCAUGGACCCGCCCUGCACCCGUACGCGAAUGGCUCUUCCUCUAGCUGCUUCCUCUUGGACCAGGCUGUCCCUGCAGCUGUACACACAAAAGGACCCAUACCCAGGUCUGGGGAAGCUCCAAGGCCCCGACAGGAAACGUGGUCAGGUUGCACGACAAACCCACAAAGACCUGGUGGCUAGCUUCUAGAAAAGAGGUGCAGCUUAUCCCAGGGAAGACCUCCUUGCUCGAUGAGAUCCAGUCCUGCACUCCAGUGAAGAACUCUUUCUUUAACAAGAUGUGAGGAAUAACAAAACUGUCACAGCAGAGCCAAAAUGGAAUAGCAGAACUGCAGACAGCAGCUCAUGGACCAGGACUGGGUGUGAAUCUGACUCCAUCCCAGAAGCUCCUUCUCCUCUUCAGGCCCUCACAGGUUAACGUGUUUAUGGGCGCUCGUCUUCAACACUGUCAAAGGCAUUCACAGCUGUCGCACCACCUCACGUGGGGGCUUCCCACUAUCAUUAUCACCUCCACAUACAGAUGGAUUCCAGUUGGCAGUCACCUCUGUUGCCCCAGGACAGGCCACUGCUCACACGCUUGUGCUCUAUUGUAUUUUUGAAUGGGAAAUGGGAGAUUCUGUGUGUGACUUAAAAUAGGCUGCACAGCCACAUUGCAUCAGUGAAUAAAACGCACAGUCUGUCAGCCAGUGGUGCUGUCCCUGACAUCACACCAGGGAUGUAGAAAUGAAUUUGGAUUUCAUCAGGGCUUCCUCUGGGCCUGAUAAGGACUUUUGUGAUACAGGUGUGCCUCUGGCUUUAGAUAAUGCACGUUAUUAAUCCAAACUGAUAAAUGUUCUCUCUGGGAUUCAGAAGGUCUCUUCAGAACUAACCUACAAGGGUUUGCUCCUCCAGUAUUGGAGUUCUGUUUUCUUCUUUUUUGCUGGACACAGGAUCUCUUUGAGUAGCUCUAGCUGUCCUGGAACUCACUAUGUAGACUGGGCUGGAUUCGAAUUCACAGAGAUCCGCCUGCCUUUGCCUAACAAGUGCUGGAGUGCUGGCUUACUUCUCUCUUGGACCAAACUCUGGGUCCUCUGGAAGAGCAACAAGUACUCUUUUUUUUUUUUUUUAAUUAACUUGAGUAUUUCUUAUAUACAUUUCAAGUGUUAUUCCCUUUCCCAGUUUCCGGGCAAACAUCCCCCUCCACCCUCCCCUUCCUUAUGGGUGUUCCCCUCCCAACCCUCCCCUCAUUGCCGCCCUCCCCCCAUAGUCUAGUUCACUGGGGGUUCAGUCUUAGCAGGACCCAGGGCUUCCCCUUCCACUGGUGCUCUUACUAGGAUAUUCAUUGCUACCUAUGGGGUCAGAGUCCAGGGUCAGUCCAUGUAUAGUCUUUAGGUAGUGGCUUAGUCCCUGGAAGCUCUGGUUGCUUGACAUUGUUGUACUUUUGGGGUCUCGAGCCCCUUCAAGCUCUUCCAGUUCUUUCUCUGAUUCCUUCAACGGGGGACCUAUUCUCAGUUCAGUGGUUUGCUGCUGGCAUUCGCCUCUGUAUUUGCUGUAUUCUGGCUGUGUCUCUCAGGAGCGAUCUACAUCCAGCUCCUGUCGGUCUGCACUUCUUUGCUUCAUCCAUCUUGUCUAAUUGGGUGGCUGUAUAUGUAUGGGCCACAUGUGGGGCAGGCUCUGAAUGGGUGUUCCUUCAGUCUCGCAACAAGUACUCUUAACACCAGAGUAAUCUCUCCAGCCCCCUAAUACUGACUCUUUUGAGAUCAUCUGCCUUUGAAUAUUGUAGAUGUGUUCAGAAGGCAGGGGCUGGCAGGUCUCUUAGUAUGCCAGCAAAAUAAUAAGAUUUGCAUGAUGCUAAAACAUAGACUAGUCAGUCCACCAUAUACGGUAAGAGUUCUAUGUUGAGCUUUAUCUAAUUUACUUUUCCUUAAAUUUUUAAGAGCUUAGGUUUUGUUUUUCGGAAUAAUUUACAGAACACGGUGUGGAUGGAAUUUUAAAACACUCACAGAACAUUACGAUUUUUGCAGUCAUUCAAUCAGAUCUGCAAUGUCAGGUUCCAGUCCAUUAAAUAAAAUGUGUUUUUGAACUAUAGCAUCUGGUUAAAUCUCAGAGUGUUAAACACAUUUUUUUCCCAGAGAAAUACAGAGUAAUAAACAUAAUGAAAAUUUUAUUAUCACAUGAAUACAGAAAAUCGAGCAGCCAUGCUUGCAGAGACCAAGGAAGCCCCACUGUGGUGGCAAUGCUUUGCCUUAGGGCUUAACCUCUCUUUGGUGAGUAUUGGCCGAGCACUAAUUAUAUGCUAGGGCUAGUCAGGGCAUUGGUGAAACACAUUUACAGAUCCGUUGCCCUCACAAACUGACAGGGAAGUGUAAGUGGGCACUCGGUGGGGGUGAACAGAUAAUGAACAGCAUGCCAGAUGUUGUAUAGGGAAGAGUAACGCUGGGGGAAGGGGUACAGAAAAGGGGUGGUCUAAUUUUCAAUGGACCGGCCGGUGCAAGCAUGGCUGUCAGGAGGACCUUCACCCUGCAUCUUGGAAGGGAAGGCAAUGAGCAUGGAUCCCAGCAAGGACAAAGGCUUUGAGGUGGGAUGAUGGACUAAGGAAUAGGAGGAGAAUCAGGUGUGUUUUCAGCAGAGUGCGCCUGCAUGUGCAGUACAGAAAGCAGGGAGAGAGGGCUGUUAGAAACAAGGUCAGAAAGAUCACAGGGAGGCAAGAAUGUGCAGGGCUUUGAAAAUUCGUUGUAAAAGCCUUUGGUUUAAAGCCAGCAUUAGAAGCCAUUCAUAUGUAGUAGUGUUAGCAGCGUGGGCACACAUGUGGAAUGCUCCCUAAUUGUAGUAAGAAUGGCACCUAAUAUUUCACUGCUUUUUAUGGGCCAAAUGUUAUGCUUUACAAGGUGUCAGUAUUUUAAUCCUCAAAGACAUGUCGAGGAAGGGGGCUAUUUUAAGUCCCAUCUGUCAAGGAGGUAAGUAGCUAGAUGACUUUGUGAGAUCUGCAGCCAGGAUGUGGCCGAGCUGGGCAUGAAUGUGCCUGUCAUGUGUUAAAGACAGGUAGGUAUGUCAUCUUUGGUUUGCCCAGCUCACCUUUCACUGGGGUCUGGUUAACCUGAGGAGAGGAAUGCAGAAUCCAGGUCAGGGAGGGGCCGGGGAGGAGCAAGACAGCAGAAGGGGGGGGGGGCGGCAAAAGAAGGCAGCUCAGCAUCAAAGGAGUGUAGGAAGCAAGGGAUGUAGGAUGAGCCCCAAGCUGAGAGGUAGGAUUGAGGUCAGAGGCGAUGCCUUCUGGAAGGAGAGGAGACCAUGGGCACUUUUUGCUAUUUGUAUUCAAAGCUAGAAUCUGUUUUCAUUCAACAUUUUGUAAUUCACCCAUCCAGCCCCAGACAUGGCUGUCUGAAUGCUUCCACUGAAAUGUGUCUGUGCCUGAAUUUAUGAAAUUCCUUCUAUUUCCUUCCCAUGCUUUAUUUCCAUGCUAAAGUGGGAACAUGUCCUCAUGGCAUGAGUGGAUGGGACAUCUUAAAAGGGGUAGGAGGCAUGCAGGGCUCAGUUCGAUAGGGAGAGAAGAGAGUCUAAGUACCUCUAACAAGUCAGUAACCUUCCAGAAGAUUCCAGGGCUUUCAAGAGAAGAUUUCCUCAGGGGUUCUCAAAUGCCAGUCAACCCAUUGAGCUUUAGUAGCUGAAUCUGACACUGCAAAGCUGAAACCAUGCAAAGGGACUCCUUACUGCAGCCUCAAAGCCAGAGAGGGGUAACAGUUGCUCUACCAAGUACCAGGUGGCCCUAGACUUCCAGAGUCACUCAGAGCCCAGCCACAGAACGAGAGCAGGAGAGAGGGUCUUUAUGAGCCUGGGGGCUCCUCUGUCAAGCCUGGUGUGUACCACUGCAGAGAUGUGAUUCUGGAAUGCCUCCCCUACAGUGUGUCAAGGGAACAAGAGGCCAGCAGCUGGAAAACAAGUAAUGGGAGAGGAAUCCCCAAUUUCUGACCUCAUCCAAAUGAAAUCUGCAAAGAGAAAAUUAAAGCAGCUUACUUCAUUAUGGAAAAGAAAAAAGAAAAGAAAAAAAAUACAACUGGAAAUUAUGAACUAAGACUAAAUUUCCACCAGAAAUGUUUUAAUUAGGAUUCACAGUUUGUUUCAUCAGAAAUGGCUUUAAUUAGAACUUAGAGAACCCAGUACCUUCGAGUUCUUAAUCUGUAUGGGCUCAGCAUCUACAGAACACCGGCAUGAACUGUGAACUUGGAUGGGAGGGUCCCUCCCAGAGAGGGUAGCACACGCACACACUGUGGGCCACCUUCAAGCAGCUUCCACUUAAUUUCUAU